rnacentral:rRNA from 1 species
AGGGGGCAGCAAUGUCACCGGCGAACGGGUGCGUAACGCGUAUGCAACCUGGCCAUAUCAGGGGGAUAGCCCUAGGAAACUGGGAUUAAUACCGCAUAAUACUUUUACUGGCAUCAGUGGAGGUUGAAAGAUUUAUUGGAUAUGGAUGGGCAUGCGUAGGAUUAGCUAGUUGGUGGGGUAACGGCUCACCAAGGCGAUGAUCCUUAGGGGCUCUGAGAGGAGUAUCCCCCACACUGGCACUGAGAUACGGGCCAGACUCCUACGGGAGGCAGCAGUAGGGAAUAUUGGGCAAUGGAGGCAACUCUGACCCAGCCAUGCCGCGUGCAGGAAGACGGUCCUCUGGAUUGUAAACUGCUUUUGAAUGGGAAGAACAGCAU